rnacentral:rRNA from 1 species
ACCAGACUCCUACGGGAGGCAGCAGUGGGGGAUAUUGCACAAUGGGGGAAACCCUGAUGCAGCGACGCCGCGUGGGUGAAGAAGCGCCUCGGCGCGUAAAGCCCUGUCAGCAGGGAAGAAAAUGACGGUACCUGAAGAAGAAGCCCCGGCUAACUACGUGCCAGCAGCCGCGGUAAUACGUAGGGGGCAAGCGUUAUCCGGAUUUACUGGGUGUAAAGGGAGCGUAGGCGGUUUAGCAAGUCAGAAGUGAAAGCCCGGGGCUCAACUCCGGGACUGCUUUGGAAACUGCCCGGCUAGAGUGCUGGAGAGGUAAGUGGAAUUCCUAGUGUAGCGGUGAAAUGCGUAGAUAUUAGGAGGAACACCAGUGGCGAAGGCGGCUUACUGGACAGUAACUGACGUUGAGGCUCGAAAGCGUGGGGAGCAAACAGGAUUAGAUACCCGGGUA